rnacentral:tRNA from 1 species
UGGCCGACGAGGUGCGCCGGGUGAUCGCGGGGCUGCGUGCCUCGGCCGGCCGGCGGGAACGGCUGCGCGCGGUUCUGGCGCCGCGGUCGGUGGUCC